GUCCCGAGCCGCCAGCUGAGAAACACUGACACGUUAUCGUCCUCCGAGUCGUCUCCACGGCGAUGCUGCAACAACACAAAUUAUAUUCAACUUCCUGCAACACGUCGUCAUGUUUACUUCAGAUUCAGAGGACUGAGACAGAGCUACCGGAUCAGGAGACACUCGGUCCUGGACGUGGUCCAGGGAGGAAGUGGAGACUCUGACCUCACAGAAUUUUCCAGAGGACAGAUGAUGACAUUUGCUGAACAGAUUCUGAAUCUCUUUAAGGACAAUUUUAUCCAUUUAUGAUUUAAACAUGUAUGAAUAAAGGUGAUUUAUUAAGC